rnacentral:RNase_P_RNA from 1 species
UGACUGAGACGGGCGAUCGCGCUGCACGAGCCGAAAGGCUGUGCGGGGAGGAAAGUCCGGGCUUCACAGGGCAGGAUAACGGGUAACACCCGCCGGAGGCGACUCCCGGGAAAGUGCAACAGAGAGAUACCGCCUGUCUUUGACAGGUAAGGGUGGAAAGGCGAGGUAAGAGCUCACCGGCUGCCCGGGUAACCGAGCAGUCCUGUAAACCCUAUUCGGAGCAACACCGCAAAAGAGCGCGAUGAGUCGGCCCGACUCGCUCAGAGGUGGCACGAGGCGUGCGGCAACGUGCGUCCCAGAUAGAUGAUCGCCACGGCGCAUAAGCGUCGGACAGAACCCGGCUUACAGGCUCAGUCACUCA